rnacentral:tRNA from 1 species
CACAGUGUAGCUUAACAUUAAAGCGUCUGGCUCACACCCAGAAGACUUCAUGCCACAUGAACACUUUGA